GAUGAACGCUGGCGGCGUGCCUAAUACAUGCAAGUCGAGCGAACAGACGAGGAGCUUGCUCCUUUGACGUUAGCGGCGGACGGGUGAGUAACACGUAGGUAACCUACCUAUAAGACUGGGAUAACUUCGGGAAACCGGAACUAAUAACGGGUAAUUUUUCCGACCGCAUGGUUCGGUAAUGAAAUAUUGGUUUUGUAUGCCUUCUUGGUUGACCUGCGCCGUAUUAGCUAGUUGGUAAGGUAACGGCUUACCAAGGCAACGAUACGUAGCCGACCUGAGAGGGUGAUCGGCCACACUGGAACUGAGACACGGUCCAGACUCCUACGGGAGGCAGCAGUAGGGAAUCUUCCGCAAUGGGCGAAAGCCUGACGGAGCAACGCCGCGUGAGUGAUGAAGGUCUUCGGAUCGUAAAACUCUGUUAUUAGGGAAGAACAAACGUGUAAGUAACUGUGCACGUCUUGACGGUACCUAAUCAGAAAGCCACGGCUAACUACGUG
rnacentral:rRNA from 1 species